UGCCCAGCAACUCCUAUCCCUACCUCCUCGUAGUACGAGUAACCUUGGGGAAGAUCGGGUAACCAACCCCGGUGGGAACUUUGGUCGUUUACUGACAGGAAAGG
rnacentral:ribozyme from 1 species